rnacentral:lncRNA from 1 species
UUCAGUGAGAAGUCUGAGUGGGAAUGUCAGCCCCAGAAAACCUGUCCUCCUCUGCCUGCUGCCCUCCAUAAGUCAGAUUAAGGCAAAAGUACCACUCUUCUGGGGGGAUUUUCAUUUAAAUGGGGUAGGGCCCAGAAGGUUUUCACACCCUAACUGGCAGGGGAGAUUGAGGGAGACAUUUUGUUGUAGCGGUCCAGCCUGUGCCCCUUCAAGGGGAUAAAUAUGAGGGACCACCUCAUCAUAUAAUCAGAGGCAUCUUUUUGCCUAGAAGGGUUGGUAUGAAUCACUAAGCUCUGAAUUUUCUGUCAGAGAAUGACUUAGGCUGUUGAAAGUUACACAUUAGAAGGUUUUUUUCCCCCUUCCAAUUACGAAUGGCAUAAGUGAAAAUUACUCAAGUUGACUCAAGGACUAGAUUGUUUUAUUCAAAGGAGUUGAGUUUUGUUUUCAUUCAGUGACUGAUUUCGAGCUUCAUAGCCCUUAAGGGGGAAGACAAAAAGGCUUUAAUGCCAUACAUUUUGCAAGGGAAGACUUCAAAGUGGUGAAGUGUGUGAACAGUUCACCCAAGCAUGGAACAUGGAGAGCAGACUUCUCACGACCAGAUGAUUUCUCAUCGCCAAUUACCCACCAGUUAGAUUAACCCUUUAGCCAAUUAAUUCUCCCUAGAAUAAAAAUAUUUCAGUGUGAGAAGCGUCAUCCCCAAAUGCUCACUUUUCUUGUUUCAUUCCAGUUGCCUAGUUCCUUCUCAAGGGAUAGACUCAUCCCUUAGCUGCUGAGACCGGUUUGAGUCAAAAAGCCCAUCUCCAAGACCGCCUAUGGUUAUAUGGAAGAGGACUUUUCCACGUCUAUUUUCAACACUGGUGGAGUUGAUGGUCUGGAGAAGUGUAACUCCAGGAUAACCUGCAUCAGAAUCCCUGGGGCCAUGGGUAAGAUUUAGCGUCUCAGUCCAUGGAGCGGGUCUUUGGAUGAGACCCUGAAAUCUGCAUCUUACCCAGGAACCCCUGUCUGAGUGUUCUGAAGGAACUUUCAAGGAUCUGUUUAAAAUUUUAAGGUACAAUUUGCAUAGAGCUAAGUACACAAAUCUUAAGUGUAUUAUAGCUAGAAUUUUUAUAUAAGGAUGCACAUUUUAACCUAAUUACACUUUUGCGGAAUAACCAUUCAAAUCAAGAUAGGGAAGAAAAAUUUCCCCCUAAGUCUUCCCAGAGGUACAUACUAUUCUGACUGUCACCGUGGGCUAGUUUUGGUUGUUCUUGAACUUCAUAGAUCCUACAGCACAUACUCUUUUGCAUCUGUUUCCUUUUACUUAUACUAUGUUUUUGCAAUUUGUCCAUGUUGUAUGUGUAGCAGUAGGUAGUUCCUUUUUAUUGCUGGUAAAAUUGCAUUGUAUGAAUAUAUCCCCAUUUACUUAUAUAUUGUCUUGUUGAAGUUCAUUUCAAUUGUUUCCAGUUUGUGGUUAUUAUGAAUAAAGCUGCUGCGAGCAUUCUUGUAAUAGUCUUU